rnacentral:rRNA from 1 species
UACGGAGGGUGCAAGCGUUAUCCGGAUUCACUGGGUUUAAAGGGUGCGUAGGUGGGAAUGUAAGUCAGUGGUGAAAUCUCCGUGCUUAACAUGGAAACUGCCAUUGAUACUAUGUUUCUUGAAUUUUCUGGAGGUCAGCGGAAUAUGUCAUGUAGCGGUGAAAUGCUUAGAUAUGACAUAGAACACCAAUUGCGAAGGCAGCUGACUACAGGGAUAUUGACACUGAUGCACGAAAGCGUGGGGAUCAAACAGG